AAGAGUAGAAUAAUAAAUAAAUCAGACCUUCCUCUUCCCAGCCUUAAAAACCUCAACAUGCCAGUAAACGUUUCAGAUUGAUGAAAAAAUCGAUGAACCGCUCUUAAUCUGAAUAUUUCAUACCUCUUCUAGCUUCUUACUGCCCCGUGAACCUAAGUUGGGGUGAUGCCUGGUCUGUCUUUCCAGUGCCACCAGUUCUUGAAUCGUGGUCGGAGCUUCCUCCACCCACCAGGCAUCCCGUUUUCGACUGAAUCUUUCUCUAGCCAAUAGGUGAGCUAUUCAAUUUCCCCCUUUUUAUGUGUUGAAACUUAAUCAUUUCGGGCCCUAUUGAGAAUUGUUUCACAUCCCAAAGAAAAUUGCUAAUCUCUGAUCUGUCGGUGCAUGUCGCCUUCAGCUUCUUUAUCACCACCGUGGAGUCACCUUCGACCUCCAUAGACUAGAAGCCUGUUUCUUGAGCAAAUCUGAGGGCUUGGAUGCUCGCCAAGGCCUCUGCUAUCAACACAAUUACUGCAUCCCCAGCGUACCAACAUCGGAAGUGAAAAUAGUACACUAAAUAUAUGAAUUAAGGUAAUGUCCGCAAGCAGUAUAUAUAUGUUAGGUUGUAAUAUAGUUUGUUUACAACGAAAUAUUUAGUAAGUAUUUCGAGGAUCGUUCCUUAAGGAUUGUAAUUUGAGAAAAACUACUAUUAAGUCAAUUACAAAAAAUAAUUACUAGUCUACUUGAGUCACGAGUUAAUAGUGUUAAUCUGGAACCAAGAUGAUAAUAAUAGUAAUAAUAAACUAAAUGAAUUGAACUAAACCUAAAUCUCCUCCUAAGUUCAUGGAUCGACUUCUCCUAUCUUUUGUUUCGACUAUGCGAGUUCCUUUAGUUUAGAUACAAUUGUUUUACCUGUUUAAUUAUUAAUGUAGGAUUCUAAAUAGUUGGUUACUAAUUAACCUAAUAGGGUUUUUCAGCCUUCUACUAACUUAAUUAGUCGGAAAGAACUACUUACCUCUCAAUGACACAGUUCAGGUUGGGGCAGGGUAAGGUUUCCACAGAUAGACAAUGUCGAUUUCGGGUUAAUUCCCACCUAUAUGACUUCUUAAGGUCGGUAAGUUUAGGGUUUAAUUUUUUCCUUUCCUAACUACUGAUCUGCUGAGUGAUGCUUGGUAGGAAUAUCGAUUUCAGGUUCAUUCCUACCUAAAUGACUUCCAAGGAUCAUCAAUCCUAGCAUUUAAUUGCACUCAACUAUAUCUAACCAAUCUACAUUGAACUCUACCUGUCAAUCAAUUAAUUAGAUUAGUACAAUUAAAACAUGCGAAAUAUGUAUAAAGUAUAAAUUGAUUCUAAUUUUUACACAAACAUUCAUUUAACAAUGUUAAAGAAAAAAAUAUAAAGAAUAGAAUAAAGGAAAGAGAUGCUCAUGGAUUUAUCGAUGAAAGCAUAACUCCAGAACAAUAUCCGCUUGUAAAAGUCUCACUUCGAAAUAGGAUCUUCAGAUUACAAGAACAUAAUGUAAACUAAGUAAAAAUUAAGAACGAGAAUAAAAACCUAAGAAUCAUCAUUUCAAGUAAGGACGGCUAAGCAUGUUAAUUUAGGUUGUGUAGACGAAAACAUCUUUGAUUAUUAAAUUGGCCUCAUCGUAGCAAUGUCAUGACACCCUCAAGCUUGUGUCGUGACACUGUCUCGCCUGUGACGCUACAUCCUCGGUAGACUGCUCUUUCGGUAUUUUGCUUAUUGUGUUACAAUAUCCCAGCUCCGUGUUGCAACAUCGGGAGCAGUCUAUGAUCUUUUUGCCCUCGAAUGAUAUGUUGCACACUUAAUCAACAUGUUAGUAUCCCUUUUAUGCCCAAAUUGGCCUAGAAGGUCAUAAAACACAUAAAAAUGCUUCUUUUAUUCACUAGGUCCUAAAAAGGGAUACUUAAUAAAAAUUAUAUUAAUUUGCUAUAAGACUGGCACAUUAAGUAUAGAAUUGGGCCUAAUCUGCUACAACGAAUUGUGACAAAUCAAACUCUACCACAUUUAAGUCAUUGCUUGUCCUCAAGUAAUGUAAUCAUAUACUUAAAAGUAAAUAAAAAAAGACAAAAGAAAAAUAACAUGAUGACAAAAAGGAAAAAAAAAUUAGUUGCAAAUAAAAAUAUACAAAAAGAAAAAAAAUAAAAAAAAUAAAAGUUAGUAAAGAUGGAUGUAAAUAAGAACCUCAGACCUAAAGUCCCCUACACUUAACUUUUUACUUGUCCUCAAGCAAACCAAUUCUAAACAUAGUAUGUAAUAAGAAAACGCCCAUUGGAUUUUAUUACUACUAAGAACAUGAUUGUCAAAUAUUAAAGGUAUAAUGAUUCUUAUCGCACAUGCAGCUUAAUCUUGAUAGUUCAAUGCCUUGAAAACUUUUUAAAGUAAAAUUAAAUUAGUUUACAAAUUUACAUUGCUAACAACUUAGAAAUAAUUUCAUGACUAAAUGUGUAACAAUAUCACCAUUAAUAUAAAUCAAACACAUAUGUAGCAGACACAAUCAUGUGAAUAAUAAAAAUAUUCAUUAAAGUAUAAUUGUUAGCAAUUCUAGAAAGUUAUGCACAAAGAACAUUUAAGUCACAUUGGUCUUCUAGACUUCUAAUGUGCUGAGGCAUAGGACAGUAUGAGUUUAAAGGAAGACAUGGUUCAAACACUAGAAAUAGUUAGGCACAUGAAAUUGUUCCCUCUCUUCCCCCUAAGUGUCCCUUCCAAGCUCAUACAUUUUAUCUUCUUCUCCCACCUUCCUUAUCACUCCAUGUAGGAAGGCACAAUACAAUACUAGCAACUAUGGCAAGCUAAACGAGUUUUGGUGCACUGAUGACUUAUUUUUUUCUCAGUCUUGUGAAUUUUUUUUUGUCACAUGACUUUUUACUCUUUUCUCACUCACAAUUCUUCUGUUUAUGUUCUAAACUUUUUCUUCUCAUUUUUACUUUUGACUUUUUAUAGAUUUUUUUUUUGCACAUUUUUUCUUGUCCUAUAAUUACUGUAUCACAUUGUUUCUUCCUUUUUUGCUCUAAUAUUUUGAGACCACCAUGGUGUAUCUACCGAAACCCUCAAUAUCUAUGGCCUGUCGUUAUUUCGUAAUGUAUUAAAGGACCAAGGAUAGGGAAAGUUCAAAUUUUCAAUUUAUGUUUGGUUUUUGGGUUUCAAUUUCGUUGGUUCAUCAAAAAGGAGUUAUUAGACUCACAUAAGGAGACUAGGGGUUCAUAACAUUAAGGUAUGGUCAUUUGAGAACUGGCUAUUCAAAUAAUGCCUUAAGUUGUCCCUAAGCAUCCCGCCAUACAUAGCUUAUUUCAUGCUUCAAAUUAAACCAAAUAAAUAAUAAUCAAUUCAAGCAUUCAUUUUUCUACGACUAUCUAUAAGAUUUAUAUCUCACAUGGCAUCAUCAAACAUUUUUACUUAUGUGCUUCUAAUUUAUUAUGCAAUUUAACUAAGUAACCUAAUCAUUUUCCCUUAAAAAUAAUCAAAUUAUCUCAUACCAAUAAAAAAAAUUCUUGACAAAAAUCAUUACAUGAUUUAUUACGUUCAACCGUUAUUCACAACAUUAAUAGAAUCCAAGCACCAUGCAACAAAAACAAAAACUUUUUUUUUUGUAAAUAAUCAACUAAAACAAAGUAAAGACACAAAAGAUAACACAUAAAACUAAUCCUAUGUUCUUUCCCACAUACUUUAGAACAUACAUUGCCCUAAAUGUAAAAUAAUUAAAGUGCAAACAAGAAAAUUUCCUUGAGUAGGCCAAACCCUUAUUGUUAUGAUAAUCUUAGAAUUUGUGUGCUCCAAGCAGAUGUAAAAGUAUCUAUAAGAAUUCUACGAAAAAAAAAACUAUAAAGUAUAAUGUAAAGAAAAUAAAAAUAAAUAUAAGAAGAUGAAGAAGUGUUGAUAAUAAAUAAUAUAACAUCUAAAUAAAAGAAUUUAGAUAAACUUGACCUUUUAAUGUUGCGGUGUGGUGUUCUAUCUUGGAUGUCGUGUAACACCCCAAAAAUGAGUCUAGAAAUUUCGAGGGUAUUUUAGGAAUUCUAGCCUAUAUGUGUUUGAAAUUUUGUAAGUUUGGUAACCGAUGAUGUUUUCGACAAUAACUACUAGGAAAUUAAGUCAAUUUCUGAAAAUGAGUAUUAAAUACCUUUAAUUUUGAAAAUAAGACUGAAUUGUAAAAGAGUCAAAACUAAGAGUUUGGUUGUAAAUGAUAAAUUUCAGAUUGUGGAUUAAAAUGUGGUUUGAAAGUGUUUUUCAACUUGUUUUAACAUGAUUAGAAGACUUUUAAAUUUAUUUUGAAGUUUUGUUAAAAAUUUCUCAAGUUUUAAUGAAUUUUCAUCAUAAUAGCCAAAACUUGUCAAAAAAUGUCGAUACCAUGAACUGAGUAGUUUUGUAUAGUUUAAAAGUUGAGAACUAGUAAUAGAUGACUAUGUAGAGAAUGGAAUUCAUUUUCUACGAAAAGAUUAAGUGUAGGCCGAGAUAUUCGAAUUUAAAGUUUCUAUGUCGAAGGUUGUGGUGAAAAGAGAACGUAGCUUAGGCUAUUGUUUUUUACUGUUUAUGAUGAGUCAAUGACUGGUUGUUAAUUUUAUAUUUGUGUGGUUUGUCUUGUUGAAGUAUCGGAGUCAAUAGGACCUUCAACGUAUAGAAAACAAAAGCUUGCUUGAGCUUUCAAUUUUUCGAUGAAAGCAUAUUUCUGGUGAGUGUUUUGGAAUCACUACUCAUAGAUGAUUCAUUGUGUAAUUGGGAAUUUAGAGGUUAGCCUAAACUUCUACUUUAAAUUCCAAGUGUAAGUGUUCUCACACCUAUGAUUAAAUGUGAUAUAUGUGUGCUUGUGCAAUUGUGAAAAUAUGAACAUAUAUAAUAUGCUAUGACAUGUGCCAUAAGCUUGUGAUAACUAUUGUGAAAGAGAAUAUGUCGGUAUGUUAUUCAUGUCAUGUGAUAAUAAAAAUAUGGGUGUCCUUUGAUACCAUGUGAUAUUGAUUAAAAUGUGCUAACGAUGUGAAUAUACAAUGAAUAUGUGAAAUAAAUUUGUAAGUAAAUACGUAAUGAUAAUAUGGAUAUUUUGGCCUUAUGAUUUUAUGAGAUCGUUGGAUACAGUUGGUAUGUCAUAUGAUUGUGAGUACUCACCUUUGUGAUGUGAUUUUGGGGCAUUGAGACCCAAAUACAAUUUUCAAAGAGAUAAGUGAAUAUGAGUUAAGCUCUAUUCACCGAUAUAUGUGUGUUUGGUGUGUUGGAGAGUGUUAGCUAUAUGCUUCAUUUAUGGGACAUGAUCGAAUCUAUGAGUCAUUUUGGUGUGUUAGAGCUCCGUGUAUCUAAUGUGUAAUGAUAGAGUCCACAUUAUGUUUCAUAACCUCAAGAGCAAAACUAUCAUAAAAUGUGACUGAAUGUGAUUAAAUGUGAUUUAUAUAUGUUGUGAUAUAUACUUUAAUAAUAAUGUGGUUAAUGUAAUAAAUGUGUAAUAGUAUAAAUAGAAGAUAAUUAAACGAGUGAAAAAUGAUAUUAAAGUUAAAUAUGUUAUGAAUAUGUGACAUGUUUGCUUAGUCGAUGCAUAAUGAAUUGUUUGCAUAGUGGUUGUUCUGGGCAUUCACUAAGCUUGUUAAACUCACCUACUCAUUUUAAACCAUAAAAUAUAAGCAUUGCUGGUAUGAGCUGUGUGGUCUCAAAGGGUGAUCCAAGCUAGAAAUUUUAGUUGCUAUUACUAGGUGUUAUUUGAAUAUUUUUGUUUUGGGCAUAAAAAGGCAAUGUAGUAGAUGUUACGUUGGCUUUGCUAUGAUUUUUGGUUGUUUUCAUACCUAUUGUGCUUAGGAACUUUGGGGACUUUAAAUAUGAUGUUUGGGAUUGUUAUUUGAGACAUUUAGAUGUUUAUUUUAUGAGACAAUUGAUGCAUGAUGUUUUGAUCUAGUUUGGAAUGAUCUAUGUAAUGAUAUAUGUUAUGUUUCCAUUGUUUGGAAUAGAUGUAUCGAUAUUCAGGUUUUAAAAACAAUGCCUCUGCAAUUUUUAAAGUGCAAGAAAUCAGUUUCGCUAGUUGGUUUUAAAUUUUUGGCCACAAGUAUUGAUACUCGAGGUAAAAUUAUCGAUACUUUUUCAGUGGUACUGAUAUUUUCUGAAAUUUGGAUUUUUAAGACGAGAAACAGUAAGCUAAUUUGGCAUUGAUUUUCCAAGAGGUAACGAUACCACUUGAGAGAAUUAUUGAUACCACACUACCAAUUUCGAUACCUACGUAACAUAUUUGGGAAAUUUUGCUAAGUGCUAAUGCAUGUUGAAUACCUAUUUUAUGAUUAUUCAAUGAAUGUUUAGCAUGAUCCAACUUCCUUAGAGUGUGAAUGACUUAUGUUUCAUAUGAAUGCUAUUAUAUUAAAAAAAUGAUGCAUGUAUAAUAAUGUGACGAUUGUGAUAAAUACAAGUGGGAGAUAGUGGUGUAGCGUCCUAGUAUUCGGGCUCGGUGACCAGGCUGGGUAUAGGGCGUUACAUUUGGUAGUAUCAAAACCUAGGUUCAAUAACACUCAAACUUAGGUGAUUGUUGUUGAUAUGCUGAUUGGGGUUUCGCAACCCAUUGAUCUAGAAAUCCAAGUGAUUAAAUUAUUCUGAUUGCUUGAAUUGUAUAAGAUAUCUCUUGUUUGUAAUGUAUGUGUGGUAAGAAUGGGAAUACAUUGCCUUUAAUCCUAAAUUUUGCUUGCAGGAAUGAGACUUGGAUAUUUU
rnacentral:lncRNA from 1 species